rnacentral:tRNA from 1 species
GCGGGUGUGGUUUAGUGGUAGAACGUCAGCUUCCCAAGCUGAAAGUGGGGGUUCGAUUCCCCCCACCCGCA